rnacentral:rRNA from 1 species
AACGAACGCUGGCGGCAUGCCUAACACAUGCAAGUCGAACGAGACCUUCGGGUCUAGUGGCGCACGGGUGCGUAACGCGUGGGAAUCUGCCCUUGGGUGCGGAAUAACUUCUCGAAAGGGAUGCUAAUACCGCAUAAUGUCGUAAGACCAAAGAUUUAUCGCCCAAGGAUGAGCCCGCGUAAGAUUAGCUAGUUGGUGGGGUAAAAGCCUACCAAGGCGACGAUCUUUAGCUGGUCUGAGAGGAUGAUCAGCCACACUGGGACUGAGACACGGCCCAGACUCCUACGGGAGGCAGCAGUGGGGAAUAUUGGACAAUGGGCGAAAGCCUGAUCCAGCAAUGCCGCGUGAGUGAUGAAGGCCCUAGGGUUGUAAAGCUCUUUUACCAGGGAUGAUAAUGACAGUACCUGGAGAAUAAGACUCCGGCUAACUCCGUGCCAGCAGCCGCGGUAAU